GUCUAUAGUCAUGUCACCCUGAACAUGCCUGAUCUUGUCUGAUCUUGGAAGCUAAGCAGGGUCGGGCCUGGUUAGUACUUGGAUGGGAGACCACCUAGGAAUACCAGGUACUAUAGGUG
rnacentral:rRNA from 1 species